GGGAUUCCGUGCUGUGCGGGCCGGGCGCUGGCGUUGGAUUGAGUUCUGUGAGUUGACUGGGCAUUCUGCAUCACAAGGUGUGGCUGGGCACUGGAACAGCCGAAGUCACCUGGGAGCUGACUGGGUUGGACUGUCCAGGAUGGUUCACUCCUACGACAGUGGAUGCUCAACUGGGGCUGUCAACUGGAGCCCCCAUAGCAGGUGAAGGCCUGCUUCCUGUUUUCCAGAUGGCCGUCUUCUCAUUGUAUCUUAACAUGGUGGAAGGAGAAUGAGAAAGCUCGCUUGUGUCUCUUUUUAUAAGGGCACUAAUCCAGACGCGGAGGGCUCACCUUUACAACAGCUAAACCUGAUCACCCCCCAGAGGCCCCAUCUCCAAAUACCAUCACAUUGGGGAUUGUGCUUUGACAUAUGAAUGUGGGAGGACACGAGCAUUCAGUCCAUAACAGGCACCAAGGCACCAAGUCAGUCUGCACAAGUGUGUCGCUGGGCAGAAGAACAAAAGAGAAGGAAGAAGAAAGAACACAGUACAGAAAGUGAGUGGCGGUACCACAAAGAGUCAUCAGCAAGUGCUGAUGGUGGCUCCGGCCAGCACAUUCCAAGCAUCCUUGGGUAGCCUGAUAAAUGGAGUGCAGAAUGUUCGGUAGCUCUGCAAGGAGUGGGAGUAUUUAUUGGGUCUGAGUGCUUGAUGCGAAACUUUCCUCCAAAGUUCCAAUUUUCUAUCCGCCAAGAUAAGUGAUGGAGGUUUAUGGUUCAUGUUGUAGCACAUCCACCCAGGCCAAGGACCUACAACUCUGAAUUUCUGGCCUGCCUCCUUCCAGCUAGAAGUGAAUCUAGAUUUACAUGCCAUCAGGAACAAGCAUCGUCUUCCUGUUCUUGCCUUUGUGAACAUGGGGGUCCCCAAGUUUUCAGCGGGUGAAGCCAGCAGGCAACAGCUCACACUGGCAUUUUGUCAGUCGGGCACCUUUAUCUUGGCAUUUGGGCUUCCAUCCAGGCUGCCUCAGCUCUUUUGAAUGAACAUGGCCUGCAAAUAGUUCAUCCACAGAGCUGGCUUGGCAGGCGAAGGCUUCUCAGCCCAAGCAGGGGGCUCGAUCUGCCUGCUCUCCUUUCUGUGGCCUCGGAUCCAGCCCUCACUUCUUACCUCCACCAGAUUUGGAGUUUUCAGAGCUAACUGAGGCUUCGGGAAAAGUUCUGUGUUUGGACAAAGCUUUGCAAUAAGGCAGAUCUGGGUUUGAAUCAUCAAUUUAUUUAAUCCUGAAAACCUCAAUUUUAUCUGUAAAAUAAAGAUGAUAAUCAUAACCUAGCUCAC
rnacentral:lncRNA from 1 species